GAGGAUGAUGAAUUCAAAUAUGUCGCUCCACUCUUAUUGUCUGCCUCGGUAGAUGUCUGAUGAUUGACAUACUCUUGUAUCUGACUC